CCAUGGCCUCCCCGGGAAAGCCUUAACGGCGCGGGAUGGGGUCGCGGCCCAUUAGGUAGACGGCGGGGUAACGGCCCACCGUGCCCGCGAUGGGUAGCCGGACUGAGAGGUCGACCGGCCACAUUGGGACUGAGAUACGGCCCAGACUCCUACGGGAGGCAGCAGUGGGGAAUUUUGCGCAAUGGGGGGAACCCUGACGCAGCAACGCCGCGUGCGGGACGAAGGCCUUCGGGUUGUAAACCGCUUUCAGCAGGGAAGACAUAGACGGUACCUGCAGAAGAAGCUCCGGCUAACUACGUGCCAGCAGCCGCGGUAAUACGUAGGGGGCGAGCGUUAUCCGGAUUCAUUGGGCGUAAAGCGCGCGUAGGCGGCCGCCUAAGCGGAACCUCUAAUCCCGGGGCUCAACCUCGGGCCGGGUUCCGGACUGGGCGGCUCGAGUGCGGUAGAGGCAGGCGGAAUUCCCGGUGUAGCGGUGGAAUGCGCAGAUAUCGGGAAGAACACCGAUGGCGAAGGCAGCCUGCUGGGCCGCCACUGACGCUGAGGCGCGAAAGCUGGGGGAGCGAACAGGAUUAGAUACCCUGGUAGUCCCAGCCGUAAACGAUGGACGCUAGGUGUGGGGGGACCAUCCCCCCGUGCCGCAGCCAACGCAUUAAGCGUCCCGCCUGGGGAGUACGGCCGCAAGGCUAAAACUCAAAGGAAUUGACGGGGGCCCGCACAAGCAGCGGAGCAUGUGGCUUAAUUCGAAGCAACGCGAAGAACCUUACCAGGGCUUGACAUGCGAGUGAAGCCGCGGAGACGCGGUGGCCGAGAGGAGCUCGCGCAGGUGGUGCAUGGCAGUCGUCAGCUCGUGUCGUGAGAUGUUGGGUUAAGUCCCGCAACGAGCGCAACCCCCGUCCCGUGUUGCCAGCAUUGAGUUGGGGACUCGCGGGAGACUGCCAGGGAUAACCUGGAGGAAGGCGGGGAUGACGUCAAAUCAUCAUGCCCCUUAUGAUUUGGGCUACACACGUGCUACAAUGGCGUAAACAAAGGGAAGCGAGAUUGUGAGAUGGAGCAAAUCCCAAAAAUAACGUCCCAGUUCGGACUGUAGUCUGCAACCCGACUACACGAAGCUGGAAUCGCUAGUAAUCGCGGAUCAGAAUGCCGCGGUGAAUACGUUCCCGGGUCUUGCACACACCGCCCGUCA
rnacentral:rRNA from 1 species